rnacentral:lncRNA from 1 species
AUACCCAUGGUUGGGGUGCCAUGGUGGGAUGGAGGGAUGCUAUCUGAAUACGUGGCUGCUGAUGAGAACACAAUCUGUGUAAAAGGAAAAAAAGGACCUUGGACAGAGCCUCAGGCAAGGAAAGGAAAGAGAAAGAAGACAAAGGGGAGAAAAACCUAAGAAAUUGCUUGUCCUAGAAGAUAAUGAAAGAAAGAAUAUUCAAAAUGGAAGGAAUGGCAAAGGUUACCAAAAGCUUCAAAGAAAUUGUAGAGCUGUGAUAUGUAUUAUCUACGCUAUCUAUAUUUUACUUGCACUUAACUGUAACUCCUAUUAGAACCUGAGCUCAUAAUGAGUAGGGAUUGCUUUUUACUCCUAGUACCCAUUGAAGUGCUCAGCAUACAGCAAGUGCUUAAUAAAUACUGGUUAGUUGAUUGAGUGAUUGAGCA